rnacentral:SRP_RNA from 1 species
CCAUACAGGCCGGGGCGUCAGCGGUGCCUUGUACCUGCAAUCCGCUUAGCAGGGGUCAUGCCGGUUUUAAGGGCAGCACCGUUCGGUCCGUGCCGUACCCUCCGUUCGUUGACGGGUUGGUCCUUUCGCAAUCAAAAUCCACGAACCAUGUCAGGUGGGGAACCAAGCAGCAUUAAGGGGACUCUUUGGUGUGUUGAGAGGGUGCCUGCCCUGAGGGCGGAAUGCGGUCAACGCGGACGGCUGUCUGUUCGAGAUUUCGGCGUAUGG